rfam:Aspergillus fumigatus Af293 chromosome 5, whole genome shotgun sequence.
GGGCUUGUAGCUCAGUGGUAGUAGCGCUCGCUUUGCAUUUAAUAAAGGUGCAGGUCCUCGGACUAGAUAUGCGAGAGGUCCGGGGUUCAAUCCCCCGUGAGUCCA